AAUGUACUCCAGAAAUACAUGUUACAUAUCGGUUUAAAAAUGUUUUAAUCAAAAAUAUUUCAUAUCAGUGAUACAAAAUGCCCCACUUUUCUUUCACGUGUACCUUUGUUAAAAUUGCACAUUGUUUUCAUUCUGAAGUGUCUGAUUAAAUUUUAAUCCUUUACCAAAUACUAGGUCUGACUACUUAAAUCUGACAAAUCAAUCAGGGAAUACUAGCGUAACUGGGGAACUAUUCAAGUAGUAGUUUAGUAUAUCCUUAGAAAACUUCCAACUUAAACUUGCCUGUUGCGUACCCAUCGCAUUUUUAUUUAACUGUCAAAAUGAUGAGAUUCCACUUAAUUGGUCCGUGUUUCUGAAACACAUGAUAUUUGUGGAAAUUCUGACUUGGCAAACGGAAUACCAUUUUGCUUUUAUUGGUUGUAUAAAAUGUUUGAUUUUUUUUUUUUUUCCCAAAAGUUUCAGGAUAACCAAGUAAGUGUCAUUGGUUUUUGUUAGGUCAUCGUAUUGAGGAAGUUCCUGAACUUCCUUUGGUAGUUGAAGAUAAAGUUGAAGGCUACAAGAAGACCAAGGAAGCUGUUUUGCUCCUUAAGAAACUUAAAGCCUGGAAUGAUAUCAAAAAGGUCUAUGCCUCUCAGCGAAUGAGAGCUGGCAAAGGCAAAAUGAGAAACCGUCGCCGUAUCCAGCGCAGGGGCCCGUGCAUCAUCUAUAAUGAGGAUAAUGGUAUCAUCAAGGCCUUCAGAAACAUCCCUGGAAUUACUCUGCUUAAUGUAAGCAAGCUGAACAUUUUGAAGCUUGCUCCUGGUGGGCAUGUGGGACGUUUCUGCAUUUGGACUGAAAGUGCUUUCCGGAAGUUAGAUGAAUUGUAUGGCACUUGGCGUAAAGCCGCUUCCCUCAAGAGUAACUACAAUCUUCCCAUGCACAAGAUGAUUAAUACAGAUCUUAGCAGAAUCUUGAAAAGCCCAGAGAUCCAAAGAGCCCUUCGAGCACCACGCAAGAAGAUCCAUCGCAGAGUCCUAAAGAAGAACCCACUGAAAAACUUGAGAAUCAUGUUGAAGCUAAACCCAUAUGCAAAGACCAUGCGCCGGAACACCAUUCUUCGCCAGGCCAGGA
rnacentral:sRNA from 1 species